AAACCAUGUUGUGGGCAUGAACUGCUAAGAUCAUUGAAUCGCUCCGAACAUUGAAAGAAUGUUUCAUCUUCCUUUUAGGCGAAGUUCAUGAUCGACUUUUUGAUGGU